CCUACGGGGAGCAGCAGUGCGGAAUAUUGGUCAAUGGACGCAAGUCUGAACCAGCCAUGCCGCGUGCAGGAAGACGGCUCUAUGAGUUGUAAACUGCUUUUGUACGAGGGUAAACGCAGAUACGCGUAUCUGUCUGAAAGUAUCGUACGAAUAAGGAUCGGCUAACUCCGUGCCAGCAGCCGCGGUAAUACGGAGGAUUCAAGCGUUAUCCGGAUUUAUUGGGUUUAAAGGGUGCGUAGGCGGUCGGAUAAGUUAGAGGUGAAAUCCCGAGGCUCAACUUCGGAAUUGCCUCUGAUACUGUUCGGCUUGAGAGUAGUUGCGGUAGGCGGAAUGUAUGGUGUAGCGGUGAAAUGCUUAGAGAUCAUACAGAACACCGAUUGCGAAGGCAGCUUACCAAGCUACUUCUGACGUUGAGGCACGAAAGCGUGGGGAGCAAACAGGAUUAGAUACCCCGGUAGUC
rnacentral:rRNA from 1 species